UUUCCUCUCUUGCCAAAGUCCUGCCCACAGAGGGGGUUUUGAUAUGUCACUGAAAUCAGCAUUCAGGUGAUGUGACUCUUCUGCCAGGGUCCUGCGUACUAGGUGGAUUGUGACAUCUCACUGGACCCGCAACCAUGUAGGUCAUGUGACUUUCAUGCCUUCUCACUGGCCACAGGUGAUGUUGUGCCAUAUAACUGAGACCGUAUCAAAAGCCUAAUAACAAGACGUAUGUCUGGAGCCCCGAUAUGCACAGGAUGGUGAUAUAACCCUCUUCUCUGGAAUGGGCCCCACACAAAGGAAGGAUAGUGACAUAUUGCAAGCCCAGGCACACAGGCCCAGAGCACAGUUGAAAUUGUGACAUAUGUACACCAAGCAACCAAGCAAUGUAUAACACCUCAUUUGGCAAUGGAAUCGAGGGCACUUUUACAUAUCACUGAGACCAGCGCCCAGCUGAUGUGAAAUAUUGGCCUGAACCCUGCCUACAAAAGCAUUGUGGCUUUUAUCUAGCUCCAUUACAUAAGUGAUGUGACUUCCUUCUACUGCCUUGGCCCUGCACUUAUGGUGAAUCGUGACACAAAAUUGGGUAGAGCAACCAGCCUGGGCCCUGACCAGCACAGAGAUUGAGGCAUAUUGCUGAACCCAGGACCAAGAUGAAGUCACUCUCCUGCCUUGAUCCUGCACACAGGGACCCUUGUGACAUAUAUACAGGCCAAUUGCCUAGGUAA
rnacentral:lncRNA from 10 species